UCUUUUUCAGAGGUUAUGAAUACAUCGACGGAGUCGACAGGGGAUGAGAAUUCAUCCCCUGUAAAGCCCCGCAGUCCGCCCCCAGCCAGAGAUGAGGGCCCCCUAGCCCCAGUCAAUGGACAGGUCCAUCCACCCUUCCUACCACCCGCUGACCGACCCGGCCGUAACACCAACCAACUCCAGUACUUGAAGAAUACCGUGAUGAAAGCCGUUUGGAAACACCAGUUUGGUUGGCCAUUCCAAACCCCUGUAGAUGCCAUCAAACUUAACAUUCCUGAUUACCAUAAAAUAAUAAAACAUCCGAUGGAUUUUGGAACGAUUAAAAAGCGAUUGGAGAAUAACUACUAUUGGAGCGCAAAAGAGUGCAUAAAGGACUUUAACACGGUGUUCACCAACUGUUACGUGUACAAUAAGGCCGGGGAGGAUAUUGUUGUUAUGGCGCAAACUCUUGAGAAACUUUUCCUCACAAAAAUCGCUUCAAUGCCGAAGGAAGAAGCCGAGGUUUUGGGUCAAGCCAAGGAGAUGAAACCUAAAAAGAAUCGAACCGAAAGAUCGAUGUCUGUAACCAGUAGCACAUCGGAAACACCAAGCUUAGACCUGCCAACUCCUGAACUUAAGACUCUGACCCCAACCCCGCCAGUUUUACCACCUCCGCCGAAAGUGGAAGAACCAGCCGCAGAUUUUGCUCAGCCCAUCAAAAAGAAACAGCAAGGUGUAAAACGAAAGGCCGACACAACCACCGGUGAACCCGGAACCGGCGACGGUGACGAAAAGAAACCGGCGCGCCAGAUAAAAAAACCCGUUAAAGACAUUCCGGAUGCCGGACCCCAGCACACAUCAAAGCCAAAGGGACGGCAGACCGAGGCUAUGAAGGCCUGUCAUGAAAUCAUUAAGGAGAUGUUUAAUAAAAAACAUGGAAGUUACGCCUGGCCCUUUUAUAAACCAGUUGAUACGGAACAGCUUGAUCUUCAUGAUUAUAAACAAGUUAUAAAGAAACCAAUGGACUUGGGAACAGUGAAAGUUAAAUUGGAGGGUAGAGAUUACAGAAGUCCUGCUGAGUUUGCCGCGGAUAUGAGACUAAUAUUUACCAACUGCUACAAGUACAACCCACCAGAGCAUGAUGUUGUAGCUAUGGCUAGAAAACUUCAGGACGUGUUUGAGAUGAGAUAUGCCAAGAUCCCAGACGAUGUGAACCCCGUGAUGCAGGGUGGGUUCGUGAAGAACGAAAGCAGUGUUACCGACGCUUCAGAUUACGACAGUGAGGAUGAGAGAGAAAGAAAACUGAUGCAGUUACAGGAACAGCUGAGACAAAUGCAAGAACAGAUGAAGUUAUUGGUUGAAGAAAGUGCCAGAUCAAAGAACAAAAGAAAAUUGAAGAAAGAUGGAAUAAAGCCCGAGAAAGGAAAACGAGGAAAGGCAAAGAAGACGAGUAAACAAACCGUUGUCGAAAGCGACGAGGAAAAGACGACACCGAUGACCUACGACGAGAAGCGACAACUCAGUCUCGACAUCAAUAAACUGCCUGGCGACAAACUCGGGAAAGUUGUCCAAAUCAUCCAGCACAGAGAGCCCAGUCUCAGGGACUCUAAUCCUGACGAAAUAGAAAUAGAUUUUGAAACCUUGAAACCCUCUACACUGCGCGCUCUUGAAACCUUUGUCACGCAGUCUCUUCGGAAGAAACCGAAAAAGAAAAGUUCAAAGAAAGGGGAGAAGAAAGACGAGGGGGAAGGAGGUUCAAAACAGAAAUCCGGGAGAUUGAGCUCUAGCAGCUCAGGUAGUGAUUCAAGUGGCUCCGAUAGUUCUGAUUCAGACUCGGAAAGCUCGGAUUCCGAUUCGAAUUAAUUUCAGCCAUACGUUCCUUUAGUUUUAGAUUAUCUCCCCAAACAAGAAUAGUAACAGUCUUCUUUUAGCUCUUCAACGUUGUGCAAUUCCGGAAAAGGAAAAGUUUCGGAAUCUUUUGUUCUUCAGGACACAGUUUUGACUUGUUCGAAUGUUGUUUCUUUAUCCUGGUUGUAAAAAAAAGUUAGAGGAGAAGAAUUGGAACAUCUCCAUAAUCUCGCGCAUUUACAUUGAGCAGUAUUUGAAAAUGCGCUUACCAACCCUUCCAUCUUGGACCUUUUUCGGAAAGGUUAAAACUGAUUUAUUAUUUUACCGCAUAAUUUAAAUUCUCAUCCUUCCCCCAUCUCUCUUUUUUAAUGAUAUCAGACCUCGACAUAAUAUUUUACAGUACUCUUAACGACCUUUAUGUUAUUUUAUCAAAUGUUUGUUUACGUUUUAUCGGUGUCACUCCCGCGUAUUGUGAAUCUCCGGAAUAUAUGAAAUGAAAUACAGCAGUUCACACAUUUUAA